rnacentral:lncRNA from 1 species
AUAUGAAGACUGAACACAGUUUAGAGUUGUCUCUUUUUUAAGUCUUUUUCAUGGGGCUACAAAGAUGAAAUUAAGGAAAUCAAACUCCAGGAUCAGAAAGGAGAGCUGGAGUAGCAGCUUAAGGCCCUCCUUGGCUGAAAUCAUGUGUCUCCUGUAAGUGAAGGACCUACCAGCCCUGCUAAGGCCCUGGCAUUGGCAGUGAUAAGGCCGACUUCACCCACACGCACAGACAGGAGCAAUGGAUACACUGAAUGUGCUUUUGAGGGAGGACAUCUCAUUAGGCAGAAUUUCAGCAAAGUGGGGGUAAAAUCUCAGCCUGAUAACUGUAAACAUAUAUGCCAUUUCAGGAAUUAUCAUUUUACUCUAUAGCCAUAAUUUCUUCCCACCCUCUUAACCCUUCCAGGGAUAUGGAGAUAGAAGAAAUCUAAGGAAGAAUGAAGGUUCUCAUUCCUUUUUCCAGUUGCACAGUGUUUCAGUUGUCUAAAGCCUGCAGAAUUCCCAUGACAACGCCAACACCGCAGGUGCUAGAAUUAUUGUUUGAAAUGGUAACAAUUCCACUAUUCAUUAAGCACCUACAUCACAGGCUCAACUAGAUGCUUUGCAAACAUCUGGAUCCUCAGAACAACUGGGAAGGAAAGUCAUUCCAGUAUGUUUCAAGGUGGAGAUUCUUUUUGACAAAUCAGGCCCAUUCAUUAGAUUGCUGGUGUCCCAUCCACACCUCCUAGGCCAGUGAUUCUCAACAGGGGAAAUUUUGCCACUGAGGAGAAACUUGGCAAUAUCUGAAGCUAUCUUUGGCUGCCACAACUGCAGGGGAAGGGUGUCACUUGCAUCCAGUGGGUGGAGACCAGAGAUGCUGCUAAACAUCCUGCACUGCACAGGACGGCCUUCACAACAAAGAAAGUUCUGGUCCCAAAUGUCUAGAGUGCCAAGGCGGAGAAAUCUUUCACAGACAUAAGGAAUUCAUCCUUUAAUAAUUUCCACUUAGCAGUACCUCUCACACCAACAACACAUUUUCUUUCAGUGAAGUAGGUCUUGCACCACCCAAGAAAACAAAGAGAAAGUUCUCCAGAGCAGAAGAGUAGAGCUGAGCCCUGGGUCUCCACCCAUCGUUGAAGACCCAUACACAAGUGGGUCUCCACGCAACACUGUGUGUUGUUAAAAGGCUAACAGACUGGGUAAAAAUUGGCCAUCUGUGUGAUCAAAACUGACCACUCUGGAGUUCUUUGGAGUGCUUGACUAGUCACCCCCCUAAAAAAACCACUUUUAUAACCUCAAGAAACCCCUGGCUUCAGAGGCUCAGGAGUAGGAUGAAUGAUGACACCUGGCAUUACUCUGGUGCCUGCAGGUUUCAAAGCAAUUUUGCAUAUAUUGGUUUCCCUCCCCUCCCCCCGCCAACUAAUCUAUCUUGUGAUAAUGAUAGGGAGCAGAACAUAUAAGGCAAAUGUUAAGAAUUCGUUGUCAGGAGUGUAAUAAAAUGAGGAGAAUAAAACAGAAUGUCCUUCUCCUGCCAAGUCACUUAAACUGUCUGUAUCCCAUUAAUCCAGCAAAUAGAGAGGAUGAGCCAGGGAGUUCCAGAUCCCCCAGGAAUGCUUGGUACAUAAAGGUCAAGAACCAACAGUUUAGCAGGGCCUUCUUUGCCUUGCUGUGCAGUAAGAACCAACCGAAGAAAACUGCUCCAAGCCUAAUUUCUUGAUUAUUUUCUUUGGGGACCAUGCCUUAUGAAGGUGGUUCUCAGCCAGGGGCAGAUUUGCCCCUUAGGGUGCAUUUGACAAUAUCUGGAGGCAUAUCUGGUUGCUGUAACUUGGAGGGAGGGGGAGAUGCUACUGGUAUCUACUAGGUAGAGGCCAGAUAUGCUGCUCAACUUCCUACAAUGCACAGGACAGCCUCCCACACACAAGGCAAAGAAUGAUCUGGUCCCAAAUGUCAAUAGUACCAAGGUUAAGAAACCCUACUUUAUGGUUAAAAUUGUUAUGGUCAAAAUAAUUCUAAUAAAUCAGAAUCUAAGCAUCAGACUGGGACUUUUUUCAUUAUUUCAACUUUAGUUGUCUUCCUUCAUGUCCUUGCACACAGCACAGAUGAAAAGAUAUUACCUGGAAAGAUAAUAAGAUUUCUUCUCCCUUUCAGUGGAAUACAGAACAAGAGGAAGAGGGACCAGAAGG